UUGUUUUUUGUGCUGCAGCUUAAAGAAAGUUUCCAAAGAGCGGCCGACUUACACAGAACUCAUGCAACAUCCUUUCUUCACCUCCCACGAGGCCAAAGAGACGGACGUGGCCAGCUUUGUGAAGGUCAUCCUGGGGGACUGAGCUGCAGCUCUCAGCCGGAGGAGGGAGGAUCCGCUGGAGAAGAAAAAAUACCACAAAGAAAAAGCACCGACAAAGCAGCCCCUGCUACCUGCAGGAGUCCUCCCACCUGUUGGUCCACCUGCCUGCAUCACCUGACCCGGUGGGCGGAGCGUCAGUAAUCUGGAAUCAUUACCUGUAUGCAAAAAGCUCCCUCUGAUUAGAUCCGCUCAGCUCUGAAGCCUCCUGAACCGAGUGGUUUGUGCUGCGGAGGUUCAGGCGAUGUGCCGACGAUAUAGUGCUCUCUGUGUAUAAUCUAAAUGUUUGCGUACUCCAAGCAACAUGUUGCAUCAGAUUAUUAAUUGACUGCAUGUACAGAGUUUAUCUGUGGGUAGAAACGGGCUCAGACAGCCAGUGAGGAGCAGCUGUAGACUUCAGGGCCCCCUGGUGGUCACACACAGGUACUGCACUGCACUGCUUUAUCCCUGGUUCCUGCCCAGGUCACGUUUUGGGCUCUUUGUGCUGCCUGAGUGUGUUACAGUGUGUUACAGUGUGCGCGAGCUGAUGCGUGAUUAACGUGUGUUUGUGUGUUUGUGAGGCUGCUCGACUCUGGAGGCA